rnacentral:lncRNA from 9 species
AUGACGUGCAAACGUGUGAGUCGGCGUUUCCAGAAGAGUGAUGUUCAGCUGCUUGUGUUGAGACUGUGCCUCGAAUUCCACCCAGUUCCACAGCCUCGCUCCGGGUGCUGCCGCUGCGUGUGUGCGACCGGGGUCUCAGCCGCGGACUCGCACGCCUGCUGCUCAGAGCUCUUGUCUCUUCUCCGUCCUCGUCUGCGGCCCGUGACCCCGCCCAGCCCCACAGCUGUGGCCACCGGCUCUGUGGUCCCUUCCUCGGUAAGGACACCUGCCUUGUCCUCUCCUUCAGCACCUUCAGGGUUGCGCGUUCCAGAAAGGGCGGAACUGGUUUGGGAACAGAUGACUAGAGAGGCAGAAGGGACCUGGGCGCUGAGGGCCUGGCCCCCGCUCGGAACUUUGGUGAGCAGAGGCCCGUCGCCUGCCUCCGUCUCCUCCUCCGGGCGUUUGGGAUACUAAGGAGGCCUGGCUUAUGGGAAUGAGGUCAUUUAUGUAAAGAUGGAGUCAGGCCUGGGGGUCUUGUGUGUGUGUGUGUGUGUGUGUGUGUGUGUGUGUGUGUGUACACACCUCUCCUGGUGGACACAGUUCUGUUCAGCUUCCCUGAUUGCCUGGGGCUGUGCAGCAGAUGUCAUUGUGGUCGAGUCCUGACCCGUGCUGGGCAGAGCUGUCCCUCGACUCCAUCUUGGGCGUUUGUCGCUGUCCCCUCCGCUCUCUGGUCUGGGCCCCACCCCCGCCGGGCAGGCGGGGCAUGGACGUGGCACUGUGUGUGCAGACCCCUGCUUCCUGUCUGCCUCCUGUGCCUCUUUCCCCUCCCAGCUCCUUUAGGCCCCAGCCUUGCCCAUUAUUCGGUCCCCCUCCCAUCCUUAUUAGCAUUUCAAAGAGCCCACAUUUGCACUUAACAAGCCCGAGGUGGUUUCUGGCUGCAGCCUGGGGCCACGGCUACAUCCUGUGAUGGGGACUGAAGGAGGAGGGGGCCCAGGCUGGCCGGGCCUUGGAUGGAAUUUGCACCUUGGACGCAGCGUUUGUGUCACUUUCCCAGGGCUUCCUGACAGACACCACAGGCUUGGCGGCUUCCAGCCGCAAAAGCGCAUCCCUUUGCCGUCUGGAGGUGAGGAUCAGGCCAAGAUCAGGAGUCAAGAUCAACCAGGAAGCUUCUGAAGCUCUGGGGAGGCUUCUCCUGCCUCUUGCAGCUUCUACUGUUGCCCGCAACCCUGGCAUCCUGGCCUGUGGCCACGUCCCCCAUCCGUCUCCUCCUUCUCAUCCCUCUGUGUCUGUGUCCCCUCCUCCUCUUCCUCCCAUAAGGUCAUCGGUCAUGGUCGGUUAGGGCCACCCUGCUCCAGUGGGACCUGCUCUUAACUAACUAUAUCUGCGAAGACUAUUUCCAGACAAGGUCACGUUCUGAGAUGCUGGGGGUCAAGUGUCAAGAUCUCUGUUUUGGGGGCGUAAUUCAGCCCACAGAGGGUUCCGGCUCUACGCUCUUGUAUUUGAUGGUAUUAGAUAUUCAAGUUUUGGAGUUCCCAUCGUGGCUCAGUGGACGUGAAUCUGACUAGCAUCCAUGAGGACGCAGGUUCGAUCCCUGGCCUCACUCAGUGGGUCAAGGAGUUAGCCUUGCCGUGAGCUGUGGUGUAGGUUGCAGACAUGGUUCUGAUCCCCUGUUGUUGUGGCUGUGGUGUAGGCCAGCGGCUACAGCUGCGAUUUGACUCUCAGCCUGGGAACCUCCAUAUGCCUUGGGUGUGGCCCUAAAAAGACAAAGACAAAAAAAAAAAAAAAAGAGAGAGAAAUUAUUACAGUUUUAAAACAUUUAAUUUAAUUUUUAGGGAAAUACAU